rnacentral:rRNA from 1 species
UACGGAGGGUGCAAGCGUUUGUCCGGAUUUAUUGGGUUUAAAGGGUGCGUAGGUGGCCUUGUAAGUCCGUGGUGAAAGCCUCUCGCUUAACGAGAGAACUGCCAUGGAUACUGCAAGGCUUGAGUCCAGACGAGGUUGGCGGAAUGGAUGGUGUAGCGGUGAAAUGCAUAGAUACCAUCCAGAACCCCGAUUGCGUAGGCAGCUGACUAGGCUGGUACUGACACUGAGGCACGAAAGCGUGGGGGAGCGAACAGG